GACGUAGGGCGCGAGCGUUGUCCGGAUUUAUUGGGCGUAAAGAGCUUGUAGGCGGUUUGUCGCGUCUGCUGUGAAAUUUCGGGGCUCAACCCCGAACUUGCAGUGGGUACGGGCAGACUAGAGUGUGGUAGGGGAGACUGGAAUUCCUGGUGUAGCGGUGAAAUGCGCAGAUAUCAGGAGGAACACCGGUGGCGAAGGCGGGUCUCUGGGCCGAUACUGACGCUGAGGAGCGAAAGCGUGGGGGAGCGAACAGG
rnacentral:rRNA from 1 species